CAGGAGACCACAAAGCUCAAAAUACAAGCAAGAGUUUUUUUUUGGGGGGGAACAUAAAGAUCUGAAAAGCUGCAAUUUGCCAUCUUCGGGAGCUGUGUGGAGCAUUGCGAGCGACAUGCCCAGGGCCCCACAGCCACCAUGUGCCUGAGGGGGCGCUUGAGCCCAGGUCUCCCAGACUCUGGCCAGCGCAUUAGCCACUGUCCCUCCCGGACUCUCCUGUGCCUCACAGAGUACUUGACACACAUCACUUUGUUGGAUUCUUACAACAACCUUGGGAGACAAAGAAACUGAAUCUCAGAGAAGAGAAGAGGCCUGGCCUGGGUCAGGAUGCUGCAGCAUCAGGGCUGGGAUGCAGCCCAGGACGCAGAGCUCCUCCUUCCUCUCCAACCCGCACGGUCCCUGCCAGGCCUC